ACUCUGACAAACAGAAAACCUGAUCAACAACUGUUUUCACUACAACUGAACCUACAAGAACAACAAUGACCUUCAGCAGCAUAUUGAUCUGGACACUGGCAGCAUUAUGUGGAGAAUGUAUUGGUCAGGUGACAGUGACUCAAACUCCCUCAGUGCUGCUCUCUGAACCUGGACGAACACUCACUGUCAACUGCAGAUUCAGCAGUGAUCCAGACAACUGGUGUAGUGGACAGUGUCUUAGCUGGUACUUACAGAAACCUGGAGAAACUCCUAAACUCUUGAUUCAUUCAACAAGUAGCCAUCAGUCAGGAACUGCAUCUAGAUUCAGUGGCAGUGGAUCUAAUGUUGAUUUCACUCUGAGCAUCAGUGGAGUCCAGACUGAAGAUGCUGGACAUUAUUACUGUCAGAGUUACCACUACAUCAACAGUAACUAUGAGUUCACACAGUGA